UGUAUGCAAAUAUUAAUUUAUUUAUUAUCACGCUUAAUACUUUGUAAUAAUAAUAAUGAUAAUAUGUAAUGUCAAUUUUCAUUAUUAAAUAAUUUAAAUUUAUUUAAUAACUAUAAUUAUCAUUAUACUUAAUACAAAAUUGAAAAUAUAUGUUUCAAAUCUAAUAUUUUAAUAAGUAAUUGAUAUGGAUUAUUUAAUUUUAUUUAAUUUUAUUAUUAA
rnacentral:lncRNA from 1 species